rnacentral:lncRNA from 10 species
CUUUGGCCCGCCUCCCUCUGGCCUCGCCCCGCCUCGCCCAUCCGCCGCGGCGCGCUGAGCGGGGAGGUGCGAGGGAGCCGCCCCCGCGGUCUGCGCGCUCGCCCGGCGGCUCCCGAGUCCGCGUUCCAAGUGGAACCGGAGCCCGGGCGCGGGCGCCCACGUUCCAUUCCCGGGAAGGCCUGGGAAGGGAGGGAAUCGCUCACCCGCCAGCCCGCCUGCAGGGAAAGGGCUCCUGGAGCUGUCGAUGCCUGCCCGACGCUGAGAUAACUCUUGGGUCCCAGUUAUCCACCAGCCACUUCUGCCUCGAUUCACCAAAGGGCAGGGAAAGAACCUUUUGGUGAGAUGGUGUGAAUUAGCGACAUCCAGCCUGAGCUGAAGUCUCCAGCGGGUCAAAGAAAUCUUUCCAUUUGCAAACUACCAAGGCUGACUUGCUGUGCAUUUGGCGGGCCUCCUGCCCCUGAUUCUGCUGGUUUGGAGAUGCUUUCUCGCUCUUUGGUUGGCUUCUGUCUCCACACAUUGUGGGGAUCCCAGGGAUUCGUCAUAGGACUCUCGGAUCGCUGGUGCCUCCACUGUGAUCUCCGGUCUCCCUGCGGCCAGCACUGACUUCUAGCAACAGAAUCCUGCAUGAGGGCCUAGGCACAGAACUUUAUUUCCACUCUUCUGAACACAUCUAAUGUGAUGCUCUGCAAUUGUCUGAAAUUUAUCCUACCCUAAGUCAUUAUCUUGUCCCCUUCUCUGGAACCUGCUUCACUUCCCGUAUCCCAAGGUGAGGUUUGGGGCUUCGCUGUCCUCCUCACUUCCCAGGCCACUCUUCUUCAUGGAAGCCUCGCGGUUUACCCUCCACCGCCUACACCUUAUCUUCUUGUUACUUUUGCCCCACAGAUAUCACCCUGAUAUGAUCUCUGUUUCUCACUCCUGCUGGCUUGAUCUUAUGUCUUGCAUUAUUCCGCAUUAGAACAAUUGAUCCCUGUCAACUCCCAUCUCUAUUCUCCACGUCGGUGUCCUCACUAUUUCCAGGUUAUAUUGCAGAACCAAAGCUGCUUAUUUGUCACGUUGAUGCUUAGACACCUCUGUGGGCUUCUGGCAGCUGAAAGGAUAAAAUUUAAUUUCUGUGGUUUGGUUUAGUAAAUUCUCAUAAUCUGCUCCUGUAUUUGUUUGUUAGGGCUGCCAUAACAAAGUACCAGAGACUGGGUGGCUUAACAGAAAUUUAUUUGCUCACCUUGUCUCUACAAAAAAUACAAAAAUUAGCCAGGCUUUGCGGUGUGUGCCUUUGGUCCCAGCUAUUAGGGACGCUGAGGUGGGAGGAUCGCUUGAGCCCGGGAGGCAGAGGAUGUAGUGAGCCAAGAUCGGGCCACUGCACUCCAAGUGACAGAGUGAGACUCUGUCUCAUAAAGAAAGAAAGAGAGAGAGAGAAGAAAGAAAAAAAGAAGGAAGGAAGGAAAAAGAAAAGAAAAAUUGUAUUUUCUCACGAGGUGUUGGCAGAGUUGGUUUCUUCUGAGGCCUCUCUCCUUGGCUUGCAGAUGGCCCCGCUUUUGUGUCCUCACGCCGUCUUCCCUCUUCCCUCUGUAUGCGUCUGUGUCCUAAUUGUCUAUUCUUAUACAUCAUAUUGGAUUAGGGCCUACCCUCAUGACCUUGUUUUCACUUCAUUACUUCUGUAAAGACCCUGUCUCCAAGUAUGGUCAUGUUCUGAGGUAAUGGGGGUUAGGACUUCAACACAGAAAUUUUUGGGGGGACACAAUUUAGCUUUAACAGCUCUUAAUGUACUCCUCUAGCAUGGCAUCCCAUGCCAUCCAUCCACCUUAAUGAAUUAUUCAUUUGUUCUCUAGGCACAUAUAACAUGCUGCUAAUAUUUAGGUAAUUAUGGCUACCUAUUACCUGAUCCUGCAGUUUAUUAAUUUAGAUAUUCAUGUUCUUCUCUUAACUGUGAGCUUCUCAAAGGCAAGACUGGUGGGUCUGGAGCACAGCCCUAGCUCAUGCUAUUCAUCAGUUCAUUCUGAAGACAUUUCCUGUGCCCUGAAUUAAGGUCUGGGCAUGUAGAGAGGAGUAUGAUACAGCCUUGGCCCUCAAGAGGAGACAGACCAAAAAUGAGAGAUUACCAAGUGGGUUAAGGGUUAUGGUGCCUGUCAUCCAAGGAACUUCUGAAGCUGAAGAUGUCCUGAAUAGCACCAGCAGCACUGCAGAGUCGAAGGAUUCUUACAGACACAUUCCAACAGAGGAGAGCCAGGCCUGGAAAGAGAAUGCAGAAUCUGAGCCAAAGGGUCCUCUGGAGAAUAGGCCUAGUACAAUGUUUUCAAAUUGUGAUCAGAAGAUCUCCAGCAUCACUUGCAGCUCUUGCUAAAAAUAUAGAUACUGGGUCCACAUUCCAACCUUAUUGACUCAAAAUCUUCCGGAUUCCAGUCCUGAAAUUCUGAAUCUUCACAGGGGAUUCUCAGGCAUCCAAAGUUUGAGAAGCACCAAUGUGUUCCAAAUGGAAGAGGUUUCAUAAAUAUUUCCCCCACAUUUCUAUACUUCACUGUUAGCACUAGUGAGACAAUCAUCUGGAAUCCCAGACUUAGAAGAAAAUUCAGUGGUCUUUGAGUCAGGUUACUCUAUGCUUGUGCCUGCAGUCACUAAUUCGUUGUAAGGACCCUGGAGCCAGACUGCCUGGAUUCUGAUUUACUCACUACUUCCUAGCUGUGUGACCUUGGGAAAGUCACUUUAUCUCCUUGUACCACCAAAGAUGAGGAUAAUGAUAAUGCCUACCUCAUAGGGUUGUUGUGAGGAUUAGUUCUGGAAGCUGGACGGUCCAAGAUCAUGCUGCCAGCAGAUUUGUGGUCUGGUGAGGGUCUACUUUCUGGUUCAUAGACUGCACCUCCUAGCUGUGUCUUAUGGUAGAAGGGGCAAAAGAGCUCCCUUGAGCUGCUUCUCUAAGGGCACUAAUCCCAUUUGUGAGGGCUCCAGCCCCAUGAUGUAAUCACCUCUCAGAGGCCCCAGCUCCUUAUACCAUCACUUUGAAGGUUAGGAUUUCAAUGUAUGAAUUAUGGGGGGGGAACACAAACACCCAGACCAUAGCAUGUGGAACACCGUCUGACAUGUACGUGCUAAUAGUGUUAGAAGUAGUCUUUGCUCUUAUAUCUUAAUUAUGAUAACUGUUUUCAUCUAUGAUAAUUGCUUUUGUGGAUGUCUUUGUUAGUGUUAGAAGUGGUCUUAGCUCUUAUAUCUUAAUUAUGAUAACUAUUUUCAUCUAUUAUAAUUGCUUUUGUGGAUGUCUUUGUUCCAGCUAGGCUGUGAGUUUCUGGAGGGCUCCAUGCCAAUCCUAGAGGCUUCUAUAACAAAUACUUACUAAACACCUACUAUAUGCCAGGCACAAUACUAGGAGAGACGGCAAUUCAUUAAAUAGGGGAAAAGCCUAGCUCUCAUAGAGGUGAGCUUAUAUUUUACAGGGUUUGAGGGGAUUUAGAAGAGAGAUUGCCCAGGCUGGCAUGGGUAGGGAAGGUAGGUAGGGCCAGAUCAUAGGAAGCCUCAGAUGUGUGUUAAGGAGUACAGACUCUCUAUAGUUAAUGAUAACAUAAAUAGGCCUUUUUUUUUUCUUUCUAGAGUGUCAGUUCCUAUUUAAAACAAAAUCUGAAAUCUUCCUGAAACUAUAUCCUCACCCUUAAAAGAAUUCAAAUUGAUUGGAAAUGUGUCUGCACAUACAUAAUUCAGAGUUAUAUGUGUGCUUACCCAAAAUUUUCUUUACAAAUUAUUGCAAGAAAUGUAAUCAUUAAAAAUUCGCAGCAAUUUUUGUGUAAUACCACUUAAAUAGCAUUUGGUCCAUUGCACCCUAAAUCUUACAUUUUGGAGUUUCAAUAUUAAUUUCAAUCUUAAUUUUCAUAAACCCAACACCAGCCAUCUAAUAUAUUUCCUGUUCAAAUACUUAUUCAUUCCUUCUGGCUUACUAAGGUUCCCUUUUGUGCUUUUAUGUUAAUUUGUUUCUCCCCUUUAGAGUGCCCAGCUUUUGCUCAAGCAGGCCCUGAGGCUGUAAAUUUCUCUCCCUACCCACGGAAUUCCUUCCUUUAAUACCCAUCUGAAGACCUUACUUCUAAUAAGAAAUUUUCCAUUAUUAAAUAAGUGACGUGCACAAAGUUUUUUUCAUCUCAUUUCCACAAUCCUGUUGUCACAUUACAAAUUUCCAUCAUCUGUAGCAUCUGGAAAUACCGAGUGGGAUAGAUAACAUGGCCUGGCUGCUGUUUGUUUUUUUUUUCAUCAGUGUGCUAGAUCUUCCUGGACACGCUGCACAAAUCUCACCUCAGUCUUAGUGCCACCGUGGACGCUGGAAGGAGCCAUUUUAAAAGGCAACCUUAAACAGUUCAGUCUAAUUUAAUAUUAGUGGCCUCCACACCUCUGACUCUUGUAUUAUUAGAAUUGCCUGUUUGGCUUUUAUUUUCCAGUGUGAACUGAUGAAACAGACACAAAGUGAAGUACCCGUUGGUUUCGCGGUCUCCACCUCGAGAGGAAAUCCAAAAGGAGUUUCUGGCAUGUGUGGUGUUGCUUAGCAAUUUACCCAAACAAACAUGUUUCCUCCUCAUUUUUUUCCCCAGUACUUAUUUACUCAAGAACAUUGUAAAAUCAAUUUUUACCACUUGACAUCUGAAAUCAUUAGAAGAAAAUCUGGUGUUUUGGGCUUUAUGAGAAGAACUGCUAACCACACAUGAAUGCAGUAUGCUGCUACCACAAAUUACGCAGUUGAGUUUCCCACAUUUGGAGAAAUCACAGGGAUCAGCAAGUCUUCAGUGGAAUAGAGAAGCCUUGCCCUAGGGAAAACUACCCUUGUGGUCAUGGUAUCUACCCUGCCUGGUGAAGAAGGUCCUUGCUUCCCCUUCUCCUUCCGCCAUGAUUGUAAGUUUCCUGAGGCCUCCCCAGCCAUGUAGAACUGAUUUUUAUAAAUCUUGACCUUCAUAUUAUUGUACCAUUCAUGAUUUUGUGGUUUUAAAGGUGGCUUUUCUUUUCCUAAUUAUUUAUUGAAAAUCUUUAAUUCCUCCUGUGAAUUCUGCCAGCUCACUUUUCAUUUUUCCAUGGUCAUGUAUUUUAUUUUAUAUUUUUCAUUCUUUUUUAAAGUUAAAAUUAUUUUUAAAGGAUUUCUGUUCCUGGCUCUGAUGGAGCAACACGGACAGAUUUACCCUCUUACUUAAACAAAAUACAGACAAAAUUUAUAAAGGAUGGUUCUGAAACAUGGGACAACAGGCAGUAUAAACAGUAAUUUUUCAAAGAAGAUAAAAAAAGGAAGUAAACCCUAUGGUUUCUCUACUGAUUCCCUAGAAAGAGAUUUCAAGCUAUCAGUCUCACUCAAUUGAGAAGACAGAGUUCAUUGAGAAUUUGGGGAAAGUCAAAGUGGACAGAAUUCACAAAGAACUAAAAAAAAGAGUAUUGUGCAGAGAAAGAGCUCCAGCUACCUCCACAGAGUUUCCCUUGAGUUUUCAGAUCAUGCGUUUGGUGAACCCACCUGAGGCAAGGGAAAGAACUACCAGAAAGAAGCAGGUGGAAAAAUUCCUGAUGUUCACAUAGACCGGGAAAUUUCUCAAGUUUUUGUCAUCUGAAUUGAAGAAAUCUUAUACUGUAUGAGGUGUUGAAGAGAAUACUCAGAAGGACAAUGCCUCCGUAGUAGGACCAAACUAGCCUAGAGUAAAGGCUGGUCUGUCUUGUAUGACUCCUUGUGAAACUAUUCUGCUGAGUAUGUCACCAAUUUUCUUAGCGAAUCUAAGUGAUUCCAAGUAAUAAGUUGAAAUUUUCACUAUUUGUAUGUUUUUAUUGAUUAUUCAUUGUGGUUCUAAUAGUUUUUGGUUUAUAAUAUUUUGUUGGUCUGUUAUUUGCUGCAUAGUGGUUUAUGAUAGUUAUAUCUUUAUUGGAUCUUUAACAAUGUAGAAUAAGUUCUUUGUUUCAUUUCAUGUUAUUUGUUUCUAAAUUUUACUUCUUAUUUAACAGUAAUGUUGCAAAUCUUUAAAAAUGUUUUACUUUAUUUGUAAGGAAAACACCUAAAGCAAAGUGAAACAAUAAGUGAUGUAGGAUCUAUUAUUAUUAUUUUCCAUCAUGUGAAUCUUUGUCUUAACAGAGAGGCUUCGUCUAUUUAUAUUUGUUGUUACAAUUGAUUUCUUUCAUCAUUCUGUUAUUUCAGUGUUUCUCUUGAAAAAUAGGUUCUUGUUAUUCAAUGAUUUAGUUUUCACUUUAUGUAUCGUUUUCUUUAUUUUGUCCUUCAUAUUUUGCAAGCUAUAUAGCCUCUGUUAAAUUCCAUUAAUGGAUAUCUUUAAGCACUCUUUGACAUGUAAUUUUCUAAUGUCUCAGUAAAUAAAGAAUUUGUCAACAUAAAAUGUGUGUGUAGGCCAGGUGCGGUGGCUCAUGCCUGUAAUCCCAGAACUUUGGGAGGCCAAGGUGGGUGGAUCACCUGAGGUCAGGAUUUUGAAACCAGCCUGACCAACAUGGCGAAACCCCGUCUCUACUAAAAGAAUACAACACUUAGCCGGACGUGGGGG